CCUACGGGGAGCAGCAGUAGGGAAUAUUGCUCAAUGGGGGAAACCCUGAAGCAGCAACGCCGCGUGGAGGAUGAAGGUUUUCGGAUUGUAAACUCCUUUUGUUAGAGAAGAUAAUGACGGUAUCUAACGAAUAAGCACCGGCUAACUCCGUGCCAGCAGCCGCGGUAAUACGGAGGGUGCAAGCGUUACUCGGAACCACUGGGCGUAAAGAGAGCGUAGGCGGGAUAGCAAGUCAGAUGUGAAAUCCUAUGGCUUAACCAUAGAACUGCAUUUGAAACUGUUAUUCUAGAGUAUGGGAGAGGUAGGUGGAAUUCUUGGUGUAGGGGUAAAAUCCGUAGAGAUCAAGAGGAAUACUCAUUGCGAAGGCGACCUGCUAGAACAUAACUGACGCUGAUGCGCGAAAGCGUGGGGAGCAAACAGGAUUAGAUACCCCAGUAGUC
rnacentral:rRNA from 1 species